AAAGAUAAUAAAAGGACGAGGCAAACACGAAGAGCUCACAACGAGAUUCAUGCUUUCAGAUUUCAACUGUCACCGGAAGUUGGAAGUUCGUUUGUGAUAGGAUCUAAACAAGUAUCAAAGUCUACAAAUUCUGGAUUAAGCAAGUUAAAGACUUGUGAUUCCCCUGUAUCUUCAACAACCUCGUCUUCCAAAACUUUAUCCAAAGACAUCUGUGGAUAGCCAUAGCAAGCCGCAGUUACAUUAUACAGGAAAGGUACCACUUAAGGCUUUGCAUUCCAAAGAAAAUGUCACAGUCGCUUUGUUUGAUAUGUUUGUUCUGUGGAUUGUUAACAUUCCAUAAAGUCGAUAUGGAUCUUGCAUAGGCUUGCUUACUCUUUUGAUCCAGCUGCAAAGAUCUUCCAAGUGAAAAAGGGUAGUGAGUUCUCUGAUUCAUACAUGGAAAGUGUUGUGAAGAACAUAGUUGUGGAUGAAAAAGAAGAGAACCCAAGAGUUGGUCUUAUGGUUAUGCCUGGGUUUUGGAUUGGUGGCAGUGUCAUUCAAAGCCGAGUUUAUGUUUCUGGUGUGAAGGUCCUUGAGUGAAGGAUCUCAGGAACUCUCUUAAUGCUUCUUCCCACUUUGUUGUGCAACUUUUAUUUUCUCUUUGUUAUAAGCAAGCCUAUAUGUAUCAUCUAUUGUUAAAAAAAAAUGGAAUUAAUAUCUUCUUCGUCUCAA
rnacentral:sRNA from 1 species